UCUGCCACGCCUCCUUCUGUCUGUUACAUACAUUUUAACAAAACCAUUAUACUCUGAUUUCAGGGUAUAAAAAAUGGUACAACCAGCAACCGAGAUCUUAUGAUUUCAAAGCCAUCAUGGACAAAUAUUAUGUACACAGGGUAAAUACUCAAAUUGCAAAUUGCUCAUUACACUUUAGGGUGGAUGUUAAUUUAUUGCUCCAAAUACCUUCGCGUCACAUAUAUCAUUAAUGAUCAUAUAUGUCUUCAACGCCGACUAAGUUAACCUCAAGUUGCUAGCAGGAUCCAUUUUUACUUAACACAAUUAAAUUUCUUACGCAUUUUUCAUAAUGCCGAGUCAACUGAUUCAAUAUUGAUAGUACAUAAGUAUGGUAUGCAAGCAAAAUGUAUUUUUGAGUUUAUAAUGUAAUUUUAACAUGAACAUGUAUUUUUCUUUUCGAUAUCUAUUUGUUUAUUGAUAAUACGCAUUUAAGCAUUUGGUUAUUGA